GCAGUCUCUUAGUCUCCUCGUAAAUUGUUACGCGUUGUUACAAAUUGUUUGCUGGCGUUACCUACGUAACGCCUGCAGUUGAACUGAAAGCAGCUUUAGAGAGGGUGUCUGAACGAUAUGUGAACAUGAAAGUUGACUUCAAAAUUAAUGUGAAUAGCAGCGAAUUCGAAAACACCCUGGUGUUAGCCUCAGGAACUGGAGUGCUGAUUCUGUUGUUACUGACAUAUUUGUUUCUGAUAUAUAACGAUAAUUUCCGAACAAAUUCAGGCCAAAAUGAGACUACUCGUGAAUCACCACAAUGUUCCACAGUGAGUAAGAUAAAUGCACCUUCCAACACAGGAAU